rnacentral:rRNA from 1 species
CCCUUAGAUGUUCUGGGCGGCCCGCGCACUACACUGGCACUCUCAAUCAGAGCCUGGAUCUAACACUUUGGGGUAUUCUAUGAAGUGGUGUCGUGACUGGGAUUAACCCUUGCAAUUAUUGGUUACGAACGAGGAAUUCCUUGUAAUCGCGGUUUAUCAGCCCGCGUUGAAUGCGUCCCUGCCCUUUGUACACACCGCCCGUCGCUCCUACCGAUGGAUCGUCCGGUGAAGCUCAUGGAGGGGCGGUUGUCUCAGCUGCCGUCGAGGUGAAAUGGACCUCACGAUCUAGAGGAAGGAGAAGUCGUAACA